rnacentral:rRNA from 1 species
UGCCAGCCGCCGCGGUAAUACGAAGGUCCCAAGCGUUGUUCGGAAUCACUGGGCGUAAAGCGCGCGUAGGCGGACCAGAAAGUUAGGGGUGAAAUCCCAGGGCUCAACCCUGGAACUGCCUCUAAAACUCCUGGUCUUGAGAUCGAGAGAGGUGAGUGGAAUUCCGAGUGUAGAGGUGAAAUUCGUAGAUAUUCGGAGGAACACCAGUGGCGAAGGCGGCUCACUGGCUCGAUACUGACGCUGAGGUGCGAAAGCGUGGGGAGCAAACAGGAUUAGAUA